rnacentral:rRNA from 1 species
UACAGAGGGUGCAAGCGUUGCUCGGAAUCAUUGGGCGUAAAGGGCAGGUAGGUGGUCUGAUUUGUCUGGAGGUGAAAGCCUUGGGCUUAACCCAAGAAGUGCCCCGGAAACGGUCAGACUUUGAGUCUUGGAGAGGGUUGCGGAAUUCCCGGUGUAGCGGCGAAAUGCGUAGAGAUCGGGAGGAACACCGGUGGCGAAGGCGGCGUUCUGGACUGUCUCUGACACUGAAGAACGAAAGCCAGGGGAGAACGG